rnacentral:lncRNA from 1 species
UCCUUUUCUCUGCCUCUGAUUUUCCUCCCUUGACUCAAGAUGUAUUGCAAGCUCUUUCGAUCUGUAAGGACCUGUCCUCAUACCUUAUGCAGGUACCGCCUCCACAUCUUGAGUGCAAAGAUUACCAUCUCCAUCUCUAGAUCGUGUGUAGGAUGAUUCAACUCAUGUUUCUUCAGCUACCAAGAAGCAUAAGCAAUCAUCCUAUCACUUUACAAUAACACACAAUCUAGUCCCACA